rnacentral:rRNA from 1 species
CUACGGGGGGCUGCAGUGAGGAAUAUUGCACAAUGGGGGGAACCCUGAUGCAGCAACGCCGCGUGGAGGAUGACGCAUUUCGGUGUGUAAACUCCUUUUAUAUGUCAAGAAAAUGACGGUAGCAUAUGAAUAAGCACCGGCUAACUCCGUGCCAGCAGCCGCGGUAAUACAGAGGGUGCAAGCGUUACUCGGAAUCACUGGGCGUAAAGGACGCGUAGGCGGGUUGGAAAGUCAGGUGUGAAAUCCUACAGCUUAACUGUAGAACUGCACUUGAAACUUCUAAUCUAGAGUAUGGGAGGGGAAGAUGGAAUUAGUGGUGUAGGGGUAAAAUCCGUAGAUAUCACUAGGAAUACCUAAAGCGAAGGCGAUCUCCUGGAACAUUACUGACGCUAAGGCGUGAAAGCGUGGGGAGCAAACAGGAUUAGAUACCCUAGUAGUC